GCUGGUGGAGAGUAUUUUUCUCUCCUAUUUCUCUUAAAUGAACUUAUCCUUAUCUGUCAUUCAUACUGCAGCCAGUGAUUCAAAUAUUGGUUCCACUGCUAAUUUAAUUGCUGCCAAGAGUUGCUGAAGUUAGGAGUGCUGCAAGGUAUGUAAAGGGAGUACCUCUGAAUAAAUUACUUCUCUGGCUAACAAAGCAACAUAUGCCUCAUUUGUUCCAUCCAUCAUUACAGAAGAAGCACAAGUGAGCGUAUGACCAGAGGAAGGAGAUGAUCCAGGUGAAAGCCAACUAUUUUUUGGUGUGGUUGGAUGUGUGAACUCAAGUCAUGGCUCUGCGUAGGGUGAUGAGCAGUGGGGACCCUGGUGAUAAAAGCAUGAUUAUCCCAUCUGUCCAGUGGAAAUCAGAAUGUUUCUAUCUGGCCUGAUUACCUUCAAUACUCAUCUCAGAAAAGAAAGGAACUUCCAAUCAUUCAGGAUGAAAUUCACCUUAUCUAACUGUCCAACUGAAAGUAAGACAGCUGGUCCAAGCUAAUCAUCUACGCUAAUCACCUUCUCUUUACAUUCACUGGAGGUAAAAAACAAACAAACAAACAAACUAAAAAACACCGGAUGGUGUUUCCUUCUCUGUCUCCUAUAUUUCAGGAUGGGAUGAACUGACAGUUGGAGAUGCAUAUUUUCUAAUAAUUGUUUAAUUCAUGUUAAAGGCAUACUAAAAGUGCAAGUGAGACU